rnacentral:rRNA from 1 species
AACGUAGGUGGCAAGCGUUAUCCGGAUUUACUGGGCGUAAAGGGUGUGCAGGCGGGGCUGUAAGUGGGGUUUGAAAUCUCCAGGCUUAACCUGGAGGGGUUAUGCCAGACUGCAGUUCUAGAGGGCGAGAGAGGGGGGUGGAAUUCCUGGUGUAGCGGUGAAAUGCGCAGAUAUCAGGAAGAACACCCGUGGCGAAGGCGGCUCUCUGGGACGGUACUGACGCUGAGACGCGAAAGCGUGGGGAGCGAACAGG